GAGUAACACGUAUGACAACCUACCUUUAACAGGGGAAUAACCCGUUGAAAAACGGACUAAUACUCCAUAACGACAGGGGGUACCCGCAUGGGAAUAUUUGUUAAAGAUUAAUCGGUUGAAGAUGGGCAUGCGUUCCAUUAGCUUGUUGGUGAGGUAACGGCUCACCAAGGCCACGAUGGAUAGGGGAACUGAGAGGUUUAUCCCCCACACUGGAACUGAGACACGGUCCAGACUCCUACGGGAGGCAGCAGUGAGGAAUAUUGGUCAAUGGAGGCAACUCUGAACCAGCCAAGUCGCGUGAAAGGAUGAAGGUCUUAUGGAUUGUAAACUUCUUUUGCAAGGGAAUAAAGUGGGGGACGUGUCCUCCUUUGCAUGUACCUUGCGAAUAAGGAUCGGCUAACUCCGUGCCAGCCGCAGC
rnacentral:rRNA from 1 species